UACGUAGGGUGCAGGCGUUAAUCGGAAUUACUGGGCGUAAAGCGUGCGCAGGCGGUUUCUUAAGUCAGAUGUGAAAGCCCCGGGCUCAACCUGGGAAUGGCAUUGGAAACUGGCGACCUAGAGUGCGGUAGGGGGUAGUGGAAUUCCCGGUGUAGCAGUGAAAUGCGUAGAGAUCGGGAGGAACAUCUGUGGCGAAGGCGACUGCCUGGACCAGCACUGACACUGAGGCACGAAAGCGUGGGGAGCAAACAGG
rnacentral:rRNA from 1 species